AGUGAACGCUGGCGGUAGGCCUAACACAUGCAAGUCGAACGGCAGCACAGUAAGAGCUUGCUCUUACGGGUGGCGAGUGGCGGACGGGUGAGGAAUACAUCGGAAUCUACUUUUUCGUGGGGGAUAACGUAGGGAAACUUACGCUAGUACCGCAUACGACCUACGGGUGAAAGCAGGGGAUCUUCGGACCUUGCGCGAUUGAAUGAGCCGAUGUCGGAUUAGCUAGUUGGCGGGGUAAAGGCCCACCAAGGCGACGAUCCGUAGCUGGUCUGAGAGGAUGAUCAGCCACACUGGAACUGAGACACGGUCCAGACUCCUACGGGAGGCAGCAGUGGGGAAUAUUGGACAAUGGGCGCAAGCCUGAUCCAGCCAUACCGCGUGGGUGAAGAAGGCCUUCGGGUUGUAAAGCCCUCUUGUUGGGAAAGAAAAGCAGCAGGUUAAUACCCCGCUGUUCUGACGGUACCCAAAGAAUAAGCACCGGCUAACUUCGUG
rnacentral:rRNA from 1 species